UACGAAGGGGGCUAGCGUUGCUCGGAAUCACUGGGCGUAAAGCGCACGUAGGCGGAUCUUUAAGUCAGGGGUGAAAUCCUGGAGCUCAACUCCAGAACUGCCUUUGAUACUGGGGGAUCUCGAGUCCGGAAGAGGUGAGUGGAACUCCGAGUGUAGAGGUGAAAUUCGUAGAUAUUCGGAAGAACACCAGUGGCGAAGGCGGCCCGCUGGUCCGGUACUGACGCUGAUGUGCGAAAGCGUGGGGAGCAAACAGG
rnacentral:rRNA from 1 species